UUCUGUCUGAUUAAAAAUGUUAUUUACUAGAUGUAGACUUAAAUAUCUGUUUUUUUUUAAUUUUUAUAGGUCAAUCCGGAGAUCUAUGUCUGAAAGCAAAGGAUUUGAAAGGAAAAUGGUGAAUGACACAAUCUGGCAAGAACCCACCAAGCCAGAGAAUGAUUCCCACAUCAGAAGGCUCUGUCAGCGAAAAGGUAAUUGCUAA
rnacentral:lncRNA from 1 species